ACUGCAACCCGCUCACAGUCCGCACCGUCGUGAGUCUACGCACGAUACACAAGGCUAAUGUCUCUCUCGUGAUGUGACCUGAACCAUGAUAUACAUGCAGCCAAAGGAAGAUGAGUCUUGACCAUGAGACAUGUACAAAAUGUGAACGGUACAGUAAAGAAUUCAACAAAAGGAACAACAGCCUUUGCGUGCACCUUGAGGUAACUUGUUUUAACUCCAUUUGGGACGAAGAAAAACAAAAACCGCGACGCCCUAGCCCAGAACUGAAAAAGAAGAAGAAAGAAGAGAUAAAACGGUCUGUCUCGGCCCUCAGGAAUUCUUUAGGAGGACAACUUCUAGUUCACUUAGAAGGCCUGAGUCCAGAAGAUCCGAGUCAGGGAAAUUUUGACGAGUUCAUAGAUGAUGACCUUCAAACCAUCAUAAAUGUUGAUGAAACAUUUGAUGAUGUUUACUACAAAAAGACACUCCAGGAGGAUCCGGAAUUUGUGGUUAUUGACAUUGAGCCUUCAUCUACAAUAAUCAUAACAGAUCCCAAGACUAAAUUUAUCAUAGACAAAGGGUUUACACCAGAUAGUGCACAAGCACUGCGGUUCUUCCUGAAACACAUCUCUUAUCAGCAAGAUCCCCAUCAUUCAGAGGUCAAGCAUAGACAGCCUUUCUUAAAUGAUGAGACUAUACAAACCAUAAAUGAAAAAAGAGAUAUUCAGCUGAAAGGAUUUGUCUUCAAUGACAUAACGAAAGAACAGAAGAAGAAGGAGGAAAUUUUGAGAGACCCAGAACAAUUUGUUGACCACUUGUGGGAUCUGCGUCUUCCCCUCUAUGUAACUGCUUUUGCAAAACUCAAAGGAGGUGGAUCAUAUAUUCUUGGCAUAGGAGAGGAGGAAAAGAAAUUUUCCACUGUGAUCAAAGGACAGACAUUCCAAUAUAUGUCUAAAUCAUUUGAAGUUCACGGAAUCGAACUGCCUACAGAAAAAUACCCUCAGAUAGAACAUUUAAUAGAGCAACGUUUGAAAGGUGGUAUGUGCUCCAUUGACUACAAGGGGGAAAGUUUAGAUUGGAACGACAUACAUAUCACUGCUCAUUUUCACGACAUAAUUGAAGAGGGCCGUGUACUGCUUGAAAUUGUAGUGAAUCCAAUCACAGGUGUAUUGUUCUAUGAUAACAAGGGACCGGAGGCAUACAAGGUGGAACAUAGAGAACCAUUUUUGAAGUGCACCCGCUGUGAGCUCAAGGACAUAAUAACAUCAGUUACAAAACAUUAGAAAGGUAUAUUUACAAAUAUGUCAGCUGAGAAGUUACCUGUCAAGGAUGCCAUCGAAGAAGACUUAACUGUUGAAGUCCCAAUUGCUACAAGCAAUCCUUUCCGCCCAACAGUAUAUGCAACUGAAACCUUUUUGGAGGAACUGUCUAACCGACUUCAAAAUGAUGUCCAUAUGCUCCCAGUGGGUGCAGUAAGAAGAUGGAACAAAGAAAUGCAAAUCCUUCUUGGUAGCUCAAAGAUUGGAUUGAUAUAUAUGGCAACAUCUCUUGCACAGAUGUUAGAUUUGCAACUGAAAGACACAAACAUUGACGGAGUUGUAUUUGAUGCAUGCGUUAUCGUAUGUGAUCAUCCAGUUCAAAUUCUUACCUUUGUUAGAAGCGUGUCAAAAGACAAAUAUCAUACCUUGAUUCAAAGAAAUGACGAGUUGUCUAAAGGUGUCCUGUAUUCAUUAAGGGAAUUUACUGAUGAAAAAUUUAACAUUUUGAAUGGUGUAUUUGAUAUAGAUGAUUUGAAAGACAGUGCAGGUUUUGAAGACAAAAGGAAUACCAUUUUUGAGAAGUCUAGUCGUUAUGUCAAUCCCAGAUCUCUUCACAUGAAUCCCAACAAAUGCCGAAACUUAUGCAAAGCCUUCUUCGUGGCAGCAGCUGUAGAUCACACAUCUAAACCUACAUCAUCAGACAAAAUAGUUCUGCUUAAGUGGGAUGUCUACCAACUUCUGGAAAAAUACCUUGAUGAACCGCUGGUAAUUGUGAAUUACGCAUCCAAAGAAAGAGCGAUAAAAGAAGUCGACAGAAGGUUAUCAAGAUCGGGAAGUACAGUGAAAACAAAAAGAAGAGUGGCCAUCCCGCACAAAAACAAGCUUGCAACACCCAAUGCUGGUGACUGUUUUGAAGACGAUACCAUGCAAAACGUGGCUGAUUAUUGUGCAUCUUCGCAGAUGCCACUCAAUGAAGGUAAUCUUUCUGCUGAUCAUUUGUGUAGAGCUACAGAAACAGAAACAUGCUCAAAGUGCCCAAAGUCAGAAACCACAACAAUUCGAUCAUCUAAUCCUACCGGCUUACAACAUUCAGAAGCCUCUCCUUUCACGGACAGGUUUUCCACAUCAGUCAUCAGUGUUGAAGAAAUGCCAAAGGAAGAAAAUAUCAAAAAGUGGUUGAAAGGUGUCACUCCUUUAUCAGAUUCUGGUUUAGGAACAGGCCAUGAUAAUGAAACAGCCACAUCAUCAGUCGAUAGUACAUCGUAUGAUAUCUCACGUUCAGGGCCCGAUCAGGAUCCAUACCAAUCUGACGCAGACACAGACUCUGGCGACAGUGCCUUCACAGGCGGCUAUCGAUUAUUGAGAGAACCUCGCUUAGAUGCGGACAGACCUGUCUCUGGUAUCUCCUAUGAAGGACGUGAAUCGCCAUGGAAGUAACAAUAACCAGGGUAAACAUAUUGAUCGGUGAAGCCAGUAAUAUAAAAAAACAAAGGGGUGAAGCCAUUAAUAUAAACAAAAGGAGUAUCACUGAUCGAGGUCUUUCAUUAGUUGAUGGUAUGCAGGGGUAUGUAAUAGCCUUCCUCACAGUUGAUUGAAGGCUGGAGUCUUUUGAUGUUGAUAACUUCUUGAAGUUUUCUGAUUAGGAAGUCUUUGAGUUUGGUGGUGAGGGCUUUGAUUUUGUCCCACUGGAUGCUGUUGCUUGGGUUGUCACGGACGUGGUCUUAUAGAGCUGACUUAGAACCAUCUUUGGAGACUGAGCUUUGAUGUUCUUUAGUUUGGGUUUUGAGGGGCCUAGAUGUUUCGCCAAUAUAAGCACAAUUGCACGGAAUUGCUGGGACUCUUAAAGAAACAGGCCAACGUCGAUGUGGUUUUCAAGAGAAGUCACAGCAUUCAGAACACCAAUAAAGCCACAGGAAAACUACCACCAUCCAGCCACAAGCUAAAACCAUCAGGAACAGUGUACCACAUUCCGUGCAAUUAUGGACAGGCUACAAUUGGCGCAACAUGUUAUAAAAAAGUUGUUCUUCUACUAGUAUCUUAUUUGAUAGUGAUUCAAAGCACCUGCCUAUGAUAUAGUUGGAAUCAUACAAUGAACUUUUAGCAGAGAUUUCUCAUAAUUAUGGAAAAAGGUUUGUCGCUUUUAUCUUCACCAUGAACGGUUUUUAAUGAAUACAAGAAUCAGAGGUUUAGAGUGUGAAUUUAGAUAUAAUAGCCCUGAACCUGGAUACCGUAAGGUACAUCCCGCGGAAUUAUAUUUCCACCUCAAAUAGUCACUACAGAUUUUGUAUCCUGGAUCACUUUUCUGUUACACAUUUACUUUUGUUUUCAAAGUGGCAUCCUCAUAUUAAAGGAACCGAAAUUGACUAUCUAAUGCAAUGUAGCUUACAAUAGCAACUGUUCAUCUAACUUCCCUUUCUAUUGCUUCCGCUCUUCCGCUGCUUCUCUGCGUGAUGUGACCUGGAGGAACAUACAGUAUUCUUGUACCAGCUUUCAGUAGAUGGUGGUGGUGUUCUUAGUAUUUAAUAUAAAGAGAUUUAUGAUACAUAUACUGCCACAUUUCAAAUACACGCAUGUACAUAUUUGUUCACCCCACCAAGACACAAUGAAAUGUCAAGUUCGAUUUACAUAAAGAUUCAUAUUCACUUGGACGUGUUGGAAUAAAGAAAUUGUGUUUAUCUGUUACAAUCACUAUUACACAAAUUGCGCCAUUAAGGAACAAACUUAUUGAAAGUAUUGAAAUAUGUGAAGAAAUGAACAUUAUGUUAAUGUUAUUGUUGUAUGGUUGCGGAUUUAUUAAAACCAAAUACCGGAAUAAUAACAUGGGCAGUGGAGUAAGAAUUUCGAAAUGAGAUUUUUAUAACUCGACAGCAGUAGUAUGUGUAAAUGCCCCCUGUCGUCUAUACUACUUCAUAUAUGUGUAGGGGCACGGGUGGCCCAGUCGUCUAAGGCGCCGCGAUUCGCUGUGCAGAUUUGCGUCCCUUGGGCACGCCAGAAACCUAUGAUUUUGGGUUCGAAGCCCGGU